UCUCUCUCUCUCUCUCUCUGAGACGUGCUCAGGUAGCAGAAUGAAAUGGAUAAGGGGGAAAAAAAACAAAAACAAAGAUGAGAGACCAAGUGAAUUGAACCCUUCACUUAUUUAUUACUGGAUAAGAUACAAUUAUCAUUCACUCGAGAACUGAUGUCAAAAACCAAGCAUGACUGAAUCCUUAAUUGGUAACCAAUAACUCUCUCUCUUUUUCCGCAUAAAAUGCAUGCUUUAAGAGAAAAUGAACCCUCGCAGAUUUUUUAUUAUCAGCAAACCAACAUUUUCAGAGUUUCAACUCAUUUCCAACAACCCCGGCUUAUGUGAGGCAAGCACAUAAUAUAGUUUUGCAAAAACAUAUUUUAAAGAUUAGAUACAUGUUCAAGACGUAGCCCACCCCAGUCCAUCCUGCAAGCAAGCGUGAAAAUUCAUCAAGUUCAAACAACCAUGCCUAGCCCUUGCUAUCACACUACUAAAGCACUCAAGGACCUUCAAAUUAAUUCAAAUUCCUUGCUUGUGAAAUAAAGUAUAUUUCAUGAUGUGUUUGUCACAAGUUAAAUGACCUUAACUUCCAGCACAAAACACAAAGUACCAUGCAUCCCAUGUUUGUUCUUAUCUUGUCUUGUCCAAUAUUCAUCUAAAGUUAACAUCUCACUUGAACUGAACUCAUUUUAUGCACUGCUAUAUCCAUUAUCUAAUGGCCUCACAAUUUAAACCAAAGAAAAUAACCAACAUUAUCUCCAAAAAUUAUCACCAUAAUGCUCUAGAUUGCUUAUGCUGUUUCCAGCACAAAUCUCCUUUAUUCUGCCAUUAGCUGUACAAGUGAACUGGCACAUGCAAUCAUUAACGGAAAUUUUUAAAAUAAGAAUCAUAAGAUUAUACGAAUAAUAUCUGAAACUAAUUUUUCAUAGUACAUGCAUCUAUAUCAAUUUCUCAAUCUUACCAAUUCAUGCGACUUGCUAAAACUAGAUUAAUUGUAUGCAUGCACCCUGAACGCCAUAAUGUAAGACAUUAUAGGUGUACAUUUUUAGAAAGCCCAUCUCCUAGUCAUGGUCAUGCCAAAGCCGGACAAGGAAAAUCCAGAGAUAGUCCUCCAACAUUUUAGAAUGAAGUGAAUACCCUCAAGAAAGAAACAAGACCCUUGUGCCUUACCAUUGCAACAAGUAAUAGCCCUUAAAUGACAACUCAAGUAUGAUCUCACCAAAAUUGAGUCUUGAGAUAAAGAAAUAUAGUUUUAGCCCUUGACAGUUUCCAAUGAACUGACAGCUCUCAAGACUCAAAUUUGCAUCCUUGUGCCCAUAACUUGAUCCAAUCUUGGUCUAAAUAUUUAGCUUAGUGAAAGAGUCAUUCAUCAUUAUAUUUCUAGCCAAUUAAUUCUAUUGUUCUUUACAUUAAAAUUUAGCUUCAUACUUCAACAUGCAUGAAUGCCAUGCUCAGAGCAAUUUCAGAAAUCUGCAUUCAACUUUACAAUCUAUAAUUUAUAUAUUCAAAUCUACCAGUUUACUGAGGUAUGAAUCCAGCUCUAUUUGUCAAUGCAUAAGCUUCCAAUGAGACAGAGAAGGAUUUAAGCAGGCAUUUUCAUGACCAAGAGUUAAUGAAAAACAC
rnacentral:misc_RNA from 1 species